rnacentral:piRNA from 1 species
CGGCAGAGGUGAGACAGAAUGCUGAGAGA